rnacentral:rRNA from 3 species
GCCUGAUGCAGCGACGCCGCGUGAGGGAUGACGGCCUUCGGGUUGUAAACCUCUUUCAGCACAGACGAAGCGCAAGUGACGGUAUGUGCAGAAGAAGGACCGGCCAACUACGUGCCAGCAGCCGCGGUAAUACGUAGGGUCCGAGCGUUGUCCGGAAUUACUGGGCGUAAAGAGCUCGUAGGUGGUUUGUCGCGUUGUUCGUGAAAACUCACAGCUUAACUGUGGGCGUGCGGGCGAUACGGGCAGACUUGAGUACUGCAGGGGAGACUGGAAUUCCUGGUGUAGCGGUGGAAUGCGCAGAUAUCAGGAGGAACACCGGUGGCGAAGGCGGGUCUCUGGGCAGUAACUGACGCUGAGGAGCGAAAGCGUGGGGAGCGAACAGGAUUAGAUACCCUGGUAGUCCACGCCGUAAACGGUGGGUACUAGGUGUGGGUUUCCUUCCUUGGGAUCCGUGCCGUAGCUAACGCAUUAAGUACCCCGCCUGGGGAGUACGGCCGCAAGGCUAAAACUCAAAGAAAUUGACGGGGGCCCGCACAAGCGGCGGAGCAUGUGGAUUAAUUCGAUGCAACGCGAAGAACCUUACCUGGGUUUGACAUGCACAGGACGCUGGUAGAGAUAUCAGUUCCCUUGUGGCCUG